AAACUUGAGAGUUUGAUCCUGGCUCAGAACGAACGCUGGCGGCAGGUCUUAGGCAUGCAAGUCGAACGGACGAAGCGAAAGCUUGCUUUCGCCUAGUUAGUGGCGCACGAGUGAGUAACGCGUGGGAAACUGCCCAUCACUGGGGAAUAACGUUUGGAAACGAACGCUAAUACCGCAUACGCCGGAAACGGGAAAGAUUUAUCGGUGAUGGAUGUGCCCGCGUUGGAUUAGCUUGUUGGUGGGGUAACGGCCUACCAAGGCGAUGAUCCAUAGCUGGUCUGAGAGGACGAUCAGCCACGUUGGAACUGAGACACGGUCCAAACUCCUACGGGAGGCAGCAGCUAAGAAUAUUGGGCAAUGGAGGAAACUCUGACCCAGCCAUGCCGCGUGAAUGAAGAAGGCCUUCGGGUUGUAAAGUUCUUUUAGUCGUGAAGAUGAUGACAGUAGCGACAGAAAAAGCACCGGCUAACUUCGUGCCAGCAGCCGCGGUAAUACGAAGGGUGCAAGCGUUGUUCGGAUUUACUGGGCGUAAAGCGUCCGUAGGUGGUUUGUUAAGUCAGGGGUGAAAUCCCAGGGCCCAACCCUGGAACUGCCUUUGAUACUGGCAAGCUGGAGCGCGAUAGAGGAAGAUGGAAUAUCUGGUGUAGGGGUGAAAUCCGUAGAUAUCAGAUAGAACACCAAUGGCGAAGGCAGUCUUCUGGAUCGUCGCUGACACUGAGGGACGAAAGCGUGGGUAGCAAACAGAAUUAGAUACUCUGGUAGUCCACGCCCUAAACGAUGCAUGCUUGUUGUUGGUUUCCUUCGGGGGAUCAGUGACGGAGUUAACACGUUAAGCAUGCCGCCUGGGGACUACGAUCGCAAGAUUAAAACUUAAAGGAAUUGACGGGGACCCGCACAAGCAGUGGAGUAUGUUGUUUAAUUCGAUGCUACGCGAGAAACCUUACCGACCCUUGACAUCUUGGUCGCGACUUCCAGAGAUGGUUGUCUUCAAUUCGGUUGGACCAAAGACAGAUGCUGCAUGGCUGUCGUC
rnacentral:rRNA from 1 species